rnacentral:rRNA from 1 species
UACCAGCACCCCGAGUGGUCGGGACAAUUAUUGGGCCUAAAGCAUCCGUAGCCGGUCAUGCAAGUCUUCCGUUAAAUCCAGCCGCUCAACGGUUGGGCUGCGGAGGAUACUACGUGGCUAGGAGGCGGGAGAGGCAAGCGGUACUCAGUGGGUAGGGGUAAAAUCCUUUGAUCCAUUGAAGGCCACCAGUGGCGAAGGCGGCUUGCCAGAACGCGCUCGACGGUGAGGGAUGAAAGCUGGGGGAGCAAACCGGG